ncrna:unclassified sequences Mu-gpT-DE RNA
CCCUGACAGGUGCGCCCUGCACCUGACUUAACCCACGACAGGAGAUCAUCAUG